GCAGAGGACUCCAGCCUACCCGAGCGACAUGAUCCAAAGAGCGCUCCCGGGUAGGCAAUUGGCCCGGUGGAACGCCUCACCAGAGCAGUGUGUGGCAAGCCCCCAUGGAGGACCAAAGCAGUGGCUGAACACAGGGAAGGAAAUGGCACUUGGAGUCCAGACAUCUGAAACUUGUAGGAAGACCCGGGGUCAGGUGUCACCACACAGUACACUUGGACUCAGCUUCCCCAAGGGUUCAAAAAUUCCCGCAUCAUCUUCAGGGAGGCGUUGGCUCGAGACAUCCAGAAGUUUCCUGCUAAAGACCUAGGCUGCGUCUUGCUCCAGUACGUGGACGACCUUCUGCUAGGACACUCCACAGCAGUCGGGUGUGCAAAAGGGAUGGAUGCCCUACUUUGGCACCUGGAGGACUGUGGAUAUAAGGUGUCCAAGAAGAAAGCUCAGAUUUGCAGACAGCAGUAUCAGACAGCCCUGUUGAACACAACUGUGUAGAGGUGUUGGACUCAGUCUAUUCUAGCAGACCGGAUCUUCGAGACCAGCCAUGGGCAUCAGUAGACUGGGAGUUAUACGUAGACGGGAGCAGCUUCAUCAACCCACAAGGAGAAAGAUGUCCAGGAUAUGCGGUGGUAACCUUGGAUAAUGUUAUUGAAGCCAAGCCAUUGCCUCAGGGCACUUCAGCCCAGAAAGCAGAACUCGUUGCUUUAACUCGGGCUCUAGAACUCAGUGAAG